GACGAACGCUGGCGGCGUGCCUAACACAUGCAAGUCAACUUGACGGAAGGAGCAAUCUGACCGUAGAGUGGCGCAAGGGUGCGUAACGCGUAAGUAACUUGCCCCAAGGUAAGGAAUAACGUCGAGAAAUCGGCGCUAAUACCUCAUAAUGCAGCGGAUCCGCAUGGAUAUGUUGUUAAAGGUUUACCGCCUUGGGAUAGGCUUGCGUCUGAUUAGCUAGUUGGUGUGGUAACGGCACACCAAGGCUACGAUCAGUAACUGGUCUGAGAGGAUGAUCAGUCACACUGGAACUGAGACACGGUCCAGACUCCUACGGGAGGCAGCAGUGAGGAAUAUUGGGCAAUGCUCGAAAGAGUGACCCAGCAACGCCGCGUGGAGGAUGAAGGUAUUCUAUAUCGUAAACUCCUGUGAGAGCAGACGAAGACAGAUUAUAAUCUGGAUGACUGUAUGCUCAGAGGAAG
rnacentral:rRNA from 1 species